rnacentral:rRNA from 1 species
UACGUGAGGGUGCAAGCGUUAAUCGGAAUUACUGGGCGUAAAGCGUGCGCAGGCGGUGAUGUAAGACAGUUGUGAAAUCCCCGGGCUCAACCUGGGAACUGCAUCUGUGACUGCAUCGGCUGGAGUGCGGCAGAGGGGGAUGGAAUUCCGCGUGUAGCAGUGAAAUGCGUAGAUAUGCGGAGGAACACCGAUGGCGAAGGCAAUCCCUGGGCCUGCACUGACGCUCAUGCACGAAAGCGUGGGGAGCAAACAGG